UACGUAGGGGGCUAGCGUUGUCCGGAUUUAUUGGGCGUAAAGAGCGUGUAGGCGGCUAGAUAGGUCCGUUGUGAAAACUCGAGGCUCAACCUCGAGACGUCGAUGGAAACCAUCUGGCUAGAGUCCGGAAGAGGAGAGUGGAAUUCCUGGUGUAGCGGUGAAAUGCGUAGAUAUCAGGAGGAACACCCGAGGCGAAGGCGGCUCUCUGGGUCGUACCUGACGCUGAGGCGCGAAAGCGUGGGGAGCGAACGGG
rnacentral:rRNA from 1 species